GCAUGCUCCGAGAUUGUGCUUCCUGUGUUUUGAUCGGCGCGCGUAGCAAGUAGACGUCAGGGUUGUUUACAGAAUGUAAGGAAAGAGCAAAGCAAAGCUAUUUUCUGCUCACAGCACCAUGAAACAUCCCAUUGUCAAAUUUCAGAGCUGAGGAGAUUGAGGUAGGCAUGCGUUCGGAUGUAACUGCAUUAUAAUUUCGCAUUUACAACUAGAUACCUAGUUCUUGCAUUGUUAGGAUGUUCGAUAUUCGAUCUGGGAUUCUGAGCAGUCUACUUUUCCCAUCAAUCGAUAGAUACCAUUAAGAUGCCUAAAUAAAUGACAGCCCUAUCUUUAUUAUAUACCCCUGUUAAAACCAGGAAUAUAAACAAUACAUAACCGCAAUGGAUCAUCCGAUGGCUACAUGCAAUAGUCAGUUGGACAGUGACACAAAUAGAGAAAUUAUAAAUAUUCAGACAGACAAGGAUGAAUCAUCAUCACAUACUUUGAGAAUGCCUACUGGCUGGACAAGAUUAGUGAAACAACGGAAAGCAGGCAAGACAGCAGGCAAAAUGGACGUCUACAUUACAAGUUCCCAAGGGAAGACAUUCCGGUCCAAAGCAUCUUUGCAAGCUUUCCUUCUGAAAGAUGGAGAAGGAGGUUUACAUGUAGACCUCUUUGAUUUUAGCACCUCUCAGGAUUGGGUGAGACACACAUCUCUGGCUGUUCCCGUGGAUAAGAGGCCGAGAAGAAGAAAGCUGGCAACAGGUGCCAAAAAGCUGGAAAUUAAAUCAGAAAGUUUGACUGAAUUGUCAGAUCUGCUUCCAAGUAAAAUGGACAGAAAGAAAUCGUCCCCGACCAGAACUGAACAUCAAGAAGCCUUUGCACCCAAGCAGACUUUGGACGUCUCGCCUAUAAUCAAAGAGCAGAUCGUAGAAAAGGCAGAGAAAGUUGACAUUGGUACUGUGAAAAACAUGCAGGUAUUUUCAAGGGGAGGGCGGUGUGAUACUAUGAACGCCGGGGAAUGUUUAACGCAGUCUGUGUCUUUAACAUCGUUGGGUGAUUCUCAACCGGAAAGUAACCUAAGAGGUCGGCUGAGGGAGAAGCUCUUCAAACCGUCUGCUGCUCUGACAAGCCAAGCAAACACCUGGCAGAGGCCGGAGAAUACACAGCCAGGCCCCCCGCCUCUGGCUAUCAUUGUGACUGUUGAUGCGGCCGGCCAGCGAGUGAGUGAAGCUGAGACCGAGCAAGGAAGGUAUGAGGAAAAGAUUCCAGUUGAAGAAGAGCUGAAAACUCUUUCUGAGUUCCAAUGUGCUAAUAGGGAGAAUGAGAAUGUCAAGGAGGAAGGGUCCUUGUCACCUGACACGCCUGAUGAAUGCUGUUCACCAGCAAGAGAACGCCAGAAGUCCACAACCUUGGGUGACAAACGAAAGACCAGCCCCUAUUUCAGCGGUAAAUCACGAAGAGACGUUCUCAGCCCACCAAGGAGAAAAGCUUUCAAGAAGUGGACCCCCCCACGCUCCCCAUUUUACCUGGUGCAGGAAACCCUUUUUCACAACCCCUGGAAGCUGCUCGUGGCCACCAUAUUUUUAAACAAGACCAGUGGAAAAGUGGCCAUUCCGGUUCUUUGGCAGUUCUUUGAGCAUUACCCAUCUGCUGAAAUAACUAAAGAUGCAAAUUGGAAGUCAAUUUCUGAACUUCUGAAGCCACUUGGAUUGUAUGAGAUCAGAGCCAAAAUAAUAAUUCGCUUUUCAGAGGAAUAUCUCAGUAAACAGUGGCGCUAUCCAAUUGAACUACAUGGCAUAGGAAAAUACGGCAACGAUUCCUACAGGAUCUUCUGUGUGGAAGAAUGGAGAAAGGUCACCCCUCAAGAUCACAAGCUGAAUAGAUACCAUGCCUGGCUGGUUGAAAACCACCAGGAGCUGGGCAUAUGAGGCGGCACAAAGAAACUGCUCAGUGUUUUAAUUUCAAAGCGACAAUCAUUAUUCCCCAUAUUGAAUACCCACUCUGACUAUAGAACCAUGUUAAAAAGUUUUAAUGUUAGAAGAGUGAGUUGCUUCAAGUUAACAGGUGCAAUGAUCCUGCUUCCUUAAAUGCUAAAGUAAAUUAUGUUGAAUAAAGUAUGUUGAAUAAAGUAUUUAUUAAUAUCCUGAUGUUGUGAUGUGUAUUUAACCCCCCGAACCCCAUUUUUUUCUUACUCCAUCCAUCCAGUAUAUGUCUCUAUUGGUAGAUGGCGACCUAAUCACACAGUCUCCUAAUCAUACAGUAGUCUGUUGUUUUUGCUGGAGUCUAGAGUUUUUUGUCUGUCCUUUGUCAGAGGCUAUUCAACUUAAAGUCCACCCUGCUUACUGCUAACAAUGGGGCUGGAGGUAAAGUGGUAAAGUGUGUAUCUCCAAGGCAACUGUUGCCAAUGCAAAACACUCAAGGACAACAUUCCGCUUAACAAACACAGGAUUAACUAGUACUGUAUGGACUGGGAUUAUAUGUAUUUAUUUUUCAUACAUCCAUUAUAGGCUGCACCAGCCGUUUUCUUGGGAUGUAUGACGAUGUAGGGUUCAAAAACGAGAAUAGAGAGAGAGAGUUGGAACGCCUGCUAGAAAUGGAAAGAAUGAAACUUCACCGACUGAGGGACACAGCCGGCUUCAACUUCACCAUGAAACUACCAGGCAUUCGCUUGGCCUCCACUCCGGUGAUUAUUCCUCACAGCUCACCUCCCUCUCGCCAGAGUCGUUGCCUGAUGGUCACGUCUUUGGUGUUGCCAAAGAUCUCACAUGUGACCCAGUCCUGGAAAGACUUUCAGGUGAAUUGAAUAGGUCGACCACCAGGCUGAAAACUACAAUGCAUUACUACUACAGCCUUCUCGAUUUAAGAUCAAUUAUUUAGAUAAUGCUUGGUCUCCAGAGCCUUCACAGGCUGAACCCUCUGCAUCCCCCGCUGGUCCCUAAACGCACCGUAUGCCUGGAGACGUUGGCUGUCCACCACCACAAUCAGCAGAGGUCCCUCUGCAUGCAGAGGAAGGAACACUACACGUAUCAUCAAGGGUGGCGGAGACCUUUCUAUGGCACCAGCAGUGAGAGAGAGGAUUAUCGGAAAGAGAUACGAGAGCAGCUGAAAAAGCAGAUAGAGGAGAAAGGGGUUCGGUCGAGGCUGCAGCUGGCCAGUAAAGUGAUGGAGGCUGACUACAUGCACGAUGAGGAGCGCCGCGCUGUGACCAGAGACAGAGAGGAGCGCAUCAAACACAACAGAGCGAUGACGCUUUUCCGAGAUGAGAAUAAGAAGCUAAUGGAGCAGACAUGGAGAGACAGAGCACUAACCCGAUCCCUCGGGGCUCUGGAGGAGAGGGAACUACUGCGCUUAAACCCCAUUAACUGGAGUGGAACACUGAAAUAGACUGAACCUCAACACAUCCACUCUGAUCGAGAUGCAUCUUUUUGGCAGAUGGGACAGACUGUGUAAUUGCUAAUGGGUGGGUUAUAUUACCCCAUUAUAAUUGGACACAAUGAGACCACACUCCAAGUCUCAUUCUCCACAGUGCUGGGUAAUUGCAUGAUAACGUUUAGAUUUUAAUAGAAUCAGUUUGUUUUUUGAGGAUUUUCCGAGUUCAUUGAUAAAUUGAGAAACCAUUAUAGAGAAUUUCUCAGAUUAUGUUUAAAGAUUUUAUUGAAAGUGCAAAAAAAGGAAAUAUUUUAGGAAGAAAUGAUUCAAAGCUAUUUAAUUAAAUGGGAAAUAAUAGUUAGCAAAUUAUGUUUUUGCAGCAGGGAAGUGAGCCUUCUAGUCUAAUAAAGUGGGGGGAAAUCACAAUCAACCAAAUAGCUUGAUGGUUUCUAAAAGUCAUGGCUCACAUAAUUCCGUAAAAUAAAAAAAGAAAGCAGAACAUUUGAAAACAUAUCACAGUAUUAAAUUAAAAAUCCCCCCAAAAAAUAUUCUUUGAAACCAAUGUCCAGGAAAUAAAAUAGAGUUUAUGUCUUGCAUUAAGGAGUGCAAAUACAUUUCUAAAAUACACGUAACCACUCUAGUGUUAGAGCUCAUCUGGCAGUUUGACAAAUAAAUUAAAUGAACAUGCAGCAGUCGAUUCUCGUCCUGAAAAACAGAUAAUAAAUAAACAGACAAAGUCAUUGAAGUAACUUUUCACAUGCAUUCAUAAAAAAAAAGUUAAACAAUGGAAUUAAAAUAAAACAGUUCUUCAUAAUGGAUGGAUUCCAGAGUAUUUCAAGGAGCUUUCUUUGAAAUGAUAAAGGCUCAACCCCACCCAAGCAGCAGGCCUACAUAGUGCAACACCUUACCCAGCAACACCAUAUCAAUAGCUCUACCAUUCAUUCUGAGAAAGCUUCGGUUUAAAAGCAUACAGCCAAAUUAAAUAACAAUAGGAUAGACAUGAUAAAUGCUCCGGACGUUCAUAUUAUGUGAAUAAAUAACUUUCUUUCUUGUGCAAUAUUUUCCCACAGAUGUAAAAUGAAAAUGCAUAAUAAAUGUG